rnacentral:rRNA from 1 species
CCUACGGGAGGCAGCAGUAGGGAAUCUUCCACAAUGGGCGAAAGCCUGAUGGAGCAACGCCGCGUGGGUGAAGAAGGUCUUCGGAUCGUAAAACCCUGUUGUUAGAGAAGAAAGUGCGUGAGAGUAACUGUUCACGUUUCGACGGUAUCUAACCAGAAAGCCACGGCUAACUACGUGCCAGCAGCCGCGGUAAUACGUAGGUGGCAAGCGUUAUCCGGAUUUGUUGGGCGUAAAGGUAACGCAGGCGGUCUGUUAAGUCUGAUGUGAAAGCCUUCGGCUUAACCGGAGUAGUGCAUUGGAUACUGGGAUACUUGAGUGCAGAAGAGGAAAGUGGAACUCCAUGUGUAGCGGUGAAAUGCGUAGAUAUAUGGAAGAACACCAGUGGCGAAGGCGGCUCUCUGGUCUGUAACUGACGCUGAGGUUCGAAAGCGUGGGUAGCAAACAGGAUUAGAUACCCUUGUAGUC